CUAGUUCAAUUUUCCCAAGUGACAGUUUGCUCUCCCUGAUGUAAACCUGCUAAGGAUUUUUUCACGUAAGCUUUGAAGAAAGUAAUUCUUAAAUCUCAGAAUAGAAGUAUCUCUCAGGGAAUCCAGUGGCAAUCAUUAGCAUGCUAUGGAGAAGAAGCAGACAUCCGUUGGGCAAGAAGGGACCAGGGCCUCUACAAGGUCAACUGGCUAUUCAGGGAAAACAAUAAUUUACUCCUCACAGAGGAUGCAGCAGAAUUCCUGUAUAUGCUUCUUGGGGAAGAUCUCCAGGUAUGGAGAGUAUUGCUUUUAUUAGCAUGUGUUUUGAUUCAGUAGCAUACUUGGAGAAUAAGACAAAAUGUAUGUGCCAUUUUCUUUUGAAUAGUAUUAUUUUUUUACUAUGUUCAGACAUAGCAGGCCAUAUCCAUUAAGAAUCAAUUUCUGGUAGUAACUUUGAUGGCAACUUAAGCCUGGAUGGCAA